rnacentral:rRNA from 1 species
UACAGAGGGGGCAAGCGUUAUUCGGAAUUAUUGGGCGUAAAGGGCGCGUAGGCGGCGUCUCAAGUGGGUGGUGAAAUCCCCGGGCUUAACCUGGGAACUGCCGUCCAAACUGAGAGGCUUGAGUCCGGGAGAGGUAAGUGGAAUUCCCAGUGUAGCGGUGAAAUGCGUAGAUAUUGGGAGGAACACCAGUGGCGAAGGCGGCUUACUGGACCGGAACUGACGCUGAGGCGCGAAAGCGUGGGGAGCAAACAGG